rnacentral:rRNA from 1 species
UACCAGCACCCCGAGUGGUCGGGGCGAUUAUUGGGCCUAAAGCAUCCGUAGCCGGUUCUACAAGUCUUCCGUUAAAUCCACCUGCUUAACAGAUGGGCUGCGGAAGAUACUAUAGAGCUAGGAGGCGGGAGAGGCAAGCGGUACUCGAUGGGUAGGGGUAAAAUCCGUUGAUCCAUUGAAGACCACCAGUGGCGAAGGCGGCUUGCCAGAACGCGCUCGACGGUGAGGGAUGAAAGCUGGGGGAGCAAACCGG